GUAGGGCGUCGAGUGAACAGUGUGGCUCCUCCCCUGACCUCCCGUGUGGGACACUUUACACUGUGGUUCCAUUCGCGUUUGUGACGAGGGAUCACUUAUGCGUAUUCCCUCCCUUUAGACUCAUGAAAACCCGGAAAGAAGAAGGAGAAGAAAAUUAAAGAAAAUUAAAAUGCUGCGAACUUUGAUCAAAUGAAAAUUUUGAUCCACGACUCCGUCAGCUCUUUGACUUGUGACUUUUGAUAAAGACGAAAAAAGAAAGAAAGAAAAGAAAA